rnacentral:rRNA from 1 species
AGUGAACGCUGGCGGUAGGCCUAACUCAUGCAAGUCGAGCGGCAGCACAGUAAGAGCUUGCUCUUACGGGUGGCGAGUGGCGGACGGGUGAGGAAUACAUCGGAAUCUACUUUUUCGUGGGGGAUAACGUAGGGAAACUUACGCUAAUACCGCAUACGACCUACGGGUGAAAGCAGGGGAUCUUCGGACCUUGCGCGAUUGAAUGAGCCGAUGUCGGAUUAGCUAGUUGGCGGGGUAAAGGCCCACCAAGGCGACGAUCCGUAGCUGGUCUGAGAGGAUGAUCAGCCACACUGGAACUGAGACACGGUCCAGACUCCUACGGGAGGCAGCAGUGGGGAAUAUUGGACAAUGGGCGCAAGCCUGAUCCAGCCAUACCGCGUGGGUGAAGAAGGCCUUCGGGUUGUAAAGCCCUUUUGUUGGGAAAGAAAAGCAGCAGGUUAAUACCCCGCUGUUCUGACGGUACCCAAAGAAUAAGCACCGGCUAACUUCGUG